GGUGAAAUAUGGGGGGGACUGGUGUCCCAAAGUUGAGAGACUGCUGUUCCUGGAAGUGGGCGAAGCAUCUUUAAACGGGGAGCCCUAAAGGCAGUCCUGGCCCGUGUCCAGUGGAUUCCGUGGAGUGCAUUUGCCAUCAUUUUGGAAUGUGUUCAUUAGCGUGCAGCUCUGAUAUUUUAUGGAGGUUCCACCUGAAUACGAGGAAGAACUUCUUUAUUGUCCACACACUAGAAGAGAUUGCCUAGAGACGUUGUGGAUCUCUCUUUCUUCUUUGCUCUCAUCCGAGAUCCAGAGUCUUUCAGGGAAAAGAAGAAUGGAUAUGAGAAUUUUUCACUCAAAGAUACACCAAUUUAAUAUCCAGAUUCCUACAAAGACACAGCAUCUUGUUCCUUCAAAUUCCUCAUCAAAAUUUUCCUGUGAUGACCUUUAAAAUAAAUCUUGACAGAGGU